GGGGAAUAUUGCGCAAUGGGGGAAACCCUGACGCAGCAAUACCGCGUGAGUGAAGAAGGUUUUCGGAUCGUAAAGCUCUGUUAUUGGGGAAGAAAAAAAGACGGUACCCAAGAAGAAAGUCCCGGCUAACUACGUGCCAGCAGCCGCGGUAAUACGUAGGGGACAAGCGUUGUCCGGAUUUACUGGGCGUAAAGAGUAUGUAGGCGGACAUUUAAGUCAGAUGUGAAAUCCCCGGGCUUAACCUGGGAGCUGCAUUUGAUACUGGGUGUCUAGAGUGUAGGAGAGGAAAGUGGAAUUCCUAGUGUAGCGGUGAAAUGCGUAGAGAUUAGGAGGAAUACCAGUGGCGAAGGCGACUCUCUGGACUUAAACUGACGCUGAGGCACGAAAGCGUGGGGAGCAAACA
rnacentral:rRNA from 2 species